rnacentral:rRNA from 1 species
GACGGAGGGUGCAAGCGUUGUUCGGAAUUACUGGGCGUAAAGGGCGCGUAGGCGGUCUGUUAAGUUCGGUGUGAAAGCCCCCGGCUCACCUGGGGAACUGCGCCGGAAACCGACAGACUCGAGUACCGGAGAGGAGGGUGGAAUUCCUGGUGUAGCGGUGAAAUGCGUAGAUAUCGUCAAGAACACCGAUUGCGAAGGCAGCUGACUACGCGAAUAUUGACACUGAUGCACGAAAGCGUGGGGAUCAAACAGG